UUUACGGAGAGUUUGAUCCUGGCUCAGGACGAACGCUGGCGGCGUGCCUAACACAUGCAAGUCGAACGGUUGAGAGGUGAGAGGUGGGAGGUUAGAAGUGAGAGGAAGAAGGAAUUGGCGGAGCCAAUUCCAACAUCGGAAUCCCACAUCCCGCUUCCCACAUCUCACUUCUCAAUAGUGGCGGACGGGUGAGUAACGCGUGGGUAACCUGCCCAUAAGCCUGGGAUAACACCGGGAAACUGGUGCUAAUACCGGAUACACUUUUUGGGGGGCAUCCCCUGGAGAGGAAAGGGAUACCGCUUAUGGAUGGACCCGCGUCCCAUUAGCUAGUUGGUAGAGUAACGGCCUACCAAGGCGACGAUGGGUAGCCGGCCUGAGAGGGUGACCGGCCACACUGGGACUGAGACACGGCCCAGACU
rnacentral:ncRNA from 1 species